AAUUUUCUGAAUGUGAAAUUCUUCGUAUUUUUUUUUAUAUGAAUAAAUAAUUGUUGAUUUUUAAGAAAAGUAAGCAAUAGUUCCAAGAAUAUAUAUCGAUAUAAAUAUAAACAUAGCUUAUUGAUCUCGAUCUAAUCAUUUGUUGCUCUCAGCGGAAAAAUUUGGAGUGCAAGAUACAUGAGACAAGUCCAGAAGUAAGAAAACUAGUUUAUUAUAUUAAUAACUGGUAUACCUACAAAGUUUUAAAAUUGAUUAUGAUAUUUAUACUUUGUUACUUAAAUUUUUUUUACUUGUACAAUUUUCUUUCUUUUUAUAUAUCAAAUAAAGAAAAUGAAGACUAGGAUAUUGUUAUUUUGAAGAUUCAUGUUCUGGUCUUUAAAACUCAUAAGUAUGGAGAAGGUUCCGCGUAAUGUGAAACUAAGGUUUUUGAAAAAUUUAUUAAAUCGACAAAUAAAGAUCCAGAGACAAGGGAUAAAAAUUAAGAAAUUUAUGAAGUUUAAGAGAUCCAGGUAUCUGCGAAGAGUUGAGAAGAACAAUCUGGAUAAAAACAGAACAAACGACUGAGAAAGUAACCGACGAAUCAAUUUAAAAUCCAGAGAGUUCAUCAGAAAAUAUGCCUGCUGAGAAUGUAGACCAGUGGAUGAAUGUGGUUAAAGUAAUCAUAACAAUCAUUUGCGAUCAUUUAACUGUGAAUAUUUGAGCUCAGAAUGUUUAGAUAAUGUUUCAGAGUUAAUAAUGUUCUAACUGCCCUCAUAACACUUUCAGUAAGAACUGAAGCUUCAGAUGAAACAGUUGGUCAUAUAAAAAUGCAGUUAGCUUCAGAAACAAUUUUUUGUGGCGCUGAAAAAUGAGCAAAAGCUGCUAAAUUUUUACUAUUUCCUAAUCCCAAUAUUACCGUACUUAAUCAUGGUUGUGUUCUCGGUUUAAUUGAAUUGAUAAUGACAUCUUAAUUCGCUUUAUCGUUUCAAGUUUUGGAGAGGUUGAAAUAACAUGUGAAUUAAAUCAAAUUACCAAUGCUUAAUACAGAACGGAUAAUUCUGACAAAAUGUUAGUAACUUUGACUAAAAAAUUAUCGUUAAUGUCAGUAUUAAUAUAUCGGUUACAGUACCAAUAUUAUUUUUUUAUCCUUUAAAAGUGAAAUUUUAAUCUUUUUUUUUUUUCUUAUUUUUGUAAUUCAGGAUAGACAU